rnacentral:lncRNA from 1 species
GGAGAAUGAGCAGAACACAGUGUGUAGUGUGGUGAGGAGAGGAGAAGGAGCAGAACACAGUGUGUAGUGUGGUGAGGUGAGGAGAGGGACUGGAACACAGUGUGUAGUGUGGUGAGGAGAGGAGAGGGACUGGAACACAGUGUGUAGUGUGGUGAGGAGAGGGACUGGAACACAGUGGGAGUGUGGUGCGGUGAGGAGAAGGAGCAGAACACAGUGUGUAGUGUGGUGAGGUGAGGUGAGGAGAGGGACUGGAACACAGUGUGUAGUGUGGUGAGGAGAGGAGAGGGACUGGAACACAGUGUGUAGUGUGGUGAGGAGAGGAGAGGGACUGGAACACAGUGUGUAGUGUGGUGAGGAGAGGAGAGGGACUGGAUCACAGUGUGUAGUGUGGAGAGGAGAGGGACUGGAACACAGUGUGUAGUGUGGUGAGGAGAGGAGAAGGAGCAGAACACAGUGUGUAGUGUGGUGAGGUGAGGAGAGGGACUGGAACACAGUGUGUAGUGUGGUGAGGAGAGGAGAGGGACUGGAACACAGUGUGUAGUGUGGUGCGGAG